rnacentral:misc_RNA from 1 species
AACCUAGCACACCUGCGGUGUGUACCUGCGGAAGGAUCAUUACAACAAGGUUCCCUGGCCCUCGAAGCUUCGGCGGAGGGGCGCUACAGCCUGACUUUAUACCCACCCUUUGCCUAUGUGUACCCCUAUUGCUUCCCUCGGCGGGCUCGCCCGCCGACAGGAACCAACUAAACCCUUUGCAUUAUACAUUUAACACUUCCGAUACAAAACUAAAUUAUUACAACUUUCAGCAAUGGAUCU